rnacentral:rRNA from 1 species
UACAGAGGGUGCGAGCGUUGUCCGGAAUCACUGGGCGUAAAGGGCGCGUAGGUGGUGGCUUAAGCGUGCGGUGAAAGCUCGGGGCUCAACCCCGAGUCGGCCGUGCGAACUGGGCUCACUGGAGCAUAGUAGAGGCAGGUGGAAUUCCGGGUGUAGCGGUGGAAUGCGUAGAGAUCCGGAAGAACACCGGUGGCGAAGGCGGCGACCUGGUCCGACACUGACGCUGAGGCGCGAAAGCGUGGGGAGCAAACAGG